rnacentral:rRNA from 1 species
GUGUCAGCAGCCGCGGUAAAACGUAGGAGGCGAGCGUUAUCCGGAUUUACUGGGCGUAAAGCGCGUGCAGGCGGAUUGGCAAGUUGGAUGUGAAAGCUCCCGGCUUAACUGGGAGAGGUCGUUCAAAACUACCAGUCUUGAGGGCGAUAGAGGGAAGCGGAAUUCCGGGUGUAGUGGUGAAAUGCGUAGAUAUCCGGAGGAACACCAGUGGCGAAAGCGGCUUCCUGGAUCGUCUCUGACGCUCAGACGCGAAAGCUAGGGUAGCAAACGGGAUUAGAGACCCCGGUAGUCCUAGCCGUAAACGAUGUAGACUUGGCGUAGGAGGGUUUAAAUCCUUCUGUGCCGCAGCAAACGCGAUAAGUCUACCGCCUGGGGACUACGGCCGCAAGGUUAAA